AGAGGAGAGAGUUGAGACCUGAGACUUCGUAGAGAGGUUGAGAAGAUGGAUGUGAAGAGUGGCGGGGAGAGCAGGCUAAGGAACUGCUUGCUCGUCUGAAGACACCAGGAAGUGGCCAUCAGUUGAUGGAAGCAGGGAGAUGGCUGAUAAGGGACCAAAGAAGUUACACGUCCCAUGCCACGGCAGGGACCCUGGAGAAGGACAAAGCAGCUCUGGACACAGGGAAUGGGGCAAGAAGUCUCCUGAAAACAUUCUCUUGGUACUGCAG